AAACUCAAAGGAAUUGACGGGGGAGCACCACAACGGGUGGAGCUUGCGGUUUAAUUGGAUUCAACGCCGGAAAUCUUACCGGGACCAACAGCAAUAUGAAGGGCCAGGCUGAAGACUUUGCCGGAUUUAGCUGAGAGGUGGUGCAUGGCCGUCGUCAGUUCGUACUGUGAAGCAUCCUGUUAAGUCAGGCAACGAGCGAGACCCACGUCCACAGUUGCCAGCAUACCCUCCGGGGUGAUGGGUACACUGUGGAGACCGCCGCUGCUAAAGCGGAGGAAGGAAUGGGCAACGGUAGGUCAGUAUGCCCCGAAUCUCCCGGGCUACACGCGGGCUACAAUGGUUGGUACAAUGGGCAUCUACCCCGAAAGGGGAAGGAAAUCUCUUAAAGCCAAUCGUAGUUCGGAUUGAGGGCUGCAACUCGCCCUCAUGAAGCUGGAAUCCGUAGUAAUCGCGUUUCAACAGAACGCGGUGAAUACGUCCCUGCUCCUU
rnacentral:rRNA from 1 species